rnacentral:rRNA from 1 species
UACGGGGGGGGCAAGCGUUGUUCGGAAUUACUGGGCGUAAAGGGCGUCGUAGGCGGCCAACUAAGUCGGAUGUGAAAUCCCCAGGCUUAACCUGGGAACUGCAUCCGAUACUGGAUGGCUUGAAUUCGGGAGAGGGAUGCAGAAUUCCAGGUGUAGCGGUGAAAUGACGUAGAUAUCUGGAGGAAUACCGGUGGCGAAGGCGGCAUCCUGGACCGACAUUGACGCUGAGGAGCGAAAGCUAGGGGAGCAACGGG